rnacentral:piRNA from 1 species
UAAAUAUGAAAGUCCAUCUGAACU